GGGUAGUCGUAUUCGAUGGUUUUGCUCUUCAAAUCCAGUGGACGGGGCUAGACACUUCGCAGGUGGGUUCGACUCCCACGCAUUCCCGCCA
rnacentral:tRNA from 1 species